GUGGGGAAUAUUGGACAAUGGGCGAAAGCCUGAUCCAGCCAUGCCGCGUGUGUGAAGAAGGUCUUCGGAUUGUAAAGCACUUUAAGUUGGGAGGAAGGGCAGUAAGUUAAUACCUUGCUGUUUUGACGUUACCGACAGAAUAAGCACCGGCUAACUUCGUGCCAGCAGCCGCGGUAAUACGAAGGGUGCAAGCGUUAAUCGGAAUUACUGGGCGUAAAGCGCGCGUAGGUGGUUCAGCAAGUUGAAGGUGAAAUCCCCGGGCUCAACCUGGGAACUGCCUCCAAAACUACUUAGCUAGAGUACGGUAGAGGGUAGUGGAAUUUCCUGUGUAGCGGUGAAAUGCGUAGAUAUAGGAAGGAACACCAGUGGCGAAGGCGACUACCUGGACUGAUACUGACACUGAGGGGCGAAAGCGUGGGGAGCAAACAGGAUUAGAAACCCUAGUAGUCC
rnacentral:rRNA from 1 species